ACCUGUCUUCGUCCCACAGAUAUAAGGUUCAAUAUCACAAACUACAAUGAACUUCGUUCACCUUCUGUUGAUUCUUGUUCUGGUGAUACUGACCGUCUACGUCAUGGGAUCAGUUGCCUCCCCUGGGAGAUGGUACAGAAGAUGGUCCGAUUCCAGCAGCAGCAGCAGCAGUGGUUCUUACAGCUGGAGUCGUUAACAUGGAGGAUGUCUGACGUUAUAUGACUUCGAAAGACAGCUGAAAACAACUUUCUUAAUUUAUACUUUCAUUGGUUCUUUUUUCUCUGACUAAACUGAAAAGGACAUUGUUUGAAAUUCCAAUCCCAUGCCAUAAUUUUUAAUGUGUACACGUGUAGAAAUUCCUCCAUAAAAAUCUGUGCUAAAUUUUCUUGUAUUCAUUUAUUCAUUUCGAAGGGUACGUGACAGAUGUUUCAAAACGACAUUUGAAUAACAUUUGAAUAGCUAAUUUGAAGUAGUACAUGUAACAUGUUCCACAAUUGUUAAAUUGAUUGAUUGAUUAAAUGUUGUUUUACGUCU